GUGGAUUCUGCUCCUCCUGGUGUCAUUGGGAAUUCUGCCAUUGUCUUCAAUAAAAGCAGGACUGGACCCCUGAAAGAGCCAUAUUAUUGGAUUAUUCAAAGCUCUGGUGAGAAUUGACACUGGUAUAUUGACAACAGCUUGUUUUUUUAGUUUAAGAUAUCUUAAUUGGAUUAACCAGUCACUUUGUUUUGUGUAAUGAUUUUAUAUCUCUGAAUGCAAUUUGCUAUGAUUAAAUAAGAAAUGUUUUUCCUUCUUCAAUUGACACCAACAAGAACAGUAAGUAGCUUUCAGUCAAGAGUAUAAAUUCCAACUGGCAUCUCUUCAUGCACCAGCAAUCUUUGGGUGAAAAAGGAAACAGGGUGAGUGUGAGGAAGAAGGAAUUCGGUCUGGCAACUGGGAGUGCAACAAGAAUUAACCCAAUAUAUUUCUCUUUCAGGUUUGUGUCUCAGGCAGAGACAAAAAGGAUUCCAAAGGCUGCACCUGCACACCCUGCUCUGGAUAGAUGCCAGCUUCACAGUGGAUACAUGCCUGGGUCACAACACAUUUCAGAAAAGAGGAUCUGCAACAUUUCAAACAAAAAUUUCUCGAGAUGCCUUGGCAGAAUAGUCACAGGGAGUGAAUAUUCCUGAAUAUUCCAGUCAUUCUUAGGAUGUCAAAACAGUCCCAACUCUGGGAUCUUCUCCCAUGAACCCACAUGGCUGAGCCACCAAGACCAAACAUCAAAAGUUGCAGGAGUGGCAGCCUACCACUCCUUUCUGUUCCUGUUUUCCUCGGAUAAAGUCCACGGUCAUUCCAGUGCUCUUUCUCAUCACCAAGUGCUCGAAGUUCAUACCUCAGAGACAAUCUCAAUGGUAUUAAAAUCUUCUGUGUAACACCAUCAGUGAUUUCAUGCUUGUGAUGGAUGGCCUUGUAAUGCAUUACCGUGUCUUCAGAGAUAUUUGGGAUGCACAAUAGGCCCUUGAAGUGAAAAGGUGACAGUAAAUGCCAAUUUCCUUCUGGUUUUAUUUCAUACCCAAUGGACUAUGAAGUGGAUUGGAGUCAAUGAAGCAUUCUGGAGACUUCUACAAAUCAUGUUCCCAAUGAAGAAGUAGGAUAUGUAAAAUUUUUGCCUCCUAACAAAUAUAUAAGCUAAAAACUUUUGGGUUUGUAACUUGUUUGUUUUGAUCAAAUGAUCAUUGAAAUAAAAAAGAUGAAGACUGCCA
rnacentral:lncRNA from 1 species